rnacentral:lncRNA from 1 species
AUGCUGCCCAGCCCAGAAAGAUUUGUCUUUGGGCUGUUUCCAUGCUCUGAGACAUGCUCUGGGAGUUGGGGGGAGCCAGAACAAGCUGUUAUUCUAAAACCCUUCAAGGGCAAGGCCAAGUGGGAGAGAUUGUGGAAGGGAAGGCAGCACAGUCCAGACUUGGAGGCUGCAGGACUCUCAGCUUUCCAAGGCCACCUCCCUGUGGUUUGGAGGGUUGGCACUGGUGGCCCCAUUCCAGGAACACUAAGCUUCUUUCCACUUACACAAAGUCCAUACUUGAAGCUCACUGGCGCUCUGCUGCUUGGGUACCAGCAGUACUUUGCUAAUAGGAACAAGGGGCGGGGCGGGCUCCUGGGGCCCCGGGCACCUCCCUUCUCCGCCCCGCCCGGAGGAGGGCCCGGAGGCUGGGGACCGAGCCAGACGAGGAACUCGAAGGCAUCAGUUCGGGAGACAGCUUACGUUGUGCUACAAGGGAAGUGUGCUGGGCUGGGCAGGUCUGAGCGAUGAGCUUUCCAGGCUAUCCCCCUCCGGUGGGCGGCUACCCCCCGGCAGCCCCAGGUAAGGGAGGCUGGGUGACCGGCGGUCCCCCCACGACGCCACAGACACGGGGAGCGGUACUGAGGCACAGUCGGGAGGGAAGGCCCGAAGGGAGGGGAGCGGGGCAGGGGGGGAGCAACAAUCCCAGGUGGAAAAGGGCCGAGGUUCCUGCGGGCUUGGGAGCGAAGGGGCCGAGGAGGAGCGUCGUCUUGCCUGUCCCUCUCGGACACAAGGGCCGCCGGCCCAGGCGGUGACUGCCCGAGAGAUGAGACGAGGCUCACCUGUGGAAGGGGGCCUGCAGAGUCAUUCACACAGAAUGAACGAGGGUGCGAGCUUUUAAGUGCUCCCUGACGGGAGGCAGCUCGCUGGCGCAGACGGGCUGCUGGAGGAAAACUCCUUCCCGAGUUCAGAUCCAGCCUCGGACGCUUCCUAGCUGGGUGACCCCGGGCAAGUCACUGAACUCCCAUUGCCGCCUUUUACUGCCCUUCUGCCUUGGAACCAUAUUGAUUCUGAGACAGAAGGAAACAGUUUUUAAAAGUGAAAUAAAAAAGAAUUCUAAGACGGAAGGUAAGGAUUU